GUCGAGCGGCAUCGAGUGAGCGCAGUUUACUGAGUUCAUGUCGGCGAGCGGCGGACGGGUGAGUAAAGUCUGGGAAUCUGGCCGAAGGAGGGGGAUAACUGCUGGAAACGGCAGCUAAUACCGCAUGAAGUCGCGAGACCAAAGUGGGGGACCUUCGGGCCUCACGCCUUCGGAUGAGCCCAGAUGAGAUUAGCUGGUAGGUAAGGUAAAGGCUUACCUAGGCGACGAUCUCUAGCGGGUCUGAGAGGAUAGCCCGCCACACUGGAACUGAGACACGGUCCAGACUCCUACGGGAGGCAGCAGUGGGGAAUAUUGCACAAUGGGCGAAAGCCUGAUGCAGCCAUGCCACGUGUGUGAAGAAGGCCUUCGGGUUGUAAAGCACUUUCAGCGAGGAGGAAGCGAUAAAUGCCA
rnacentral:rRNA from 1 species